CCUACGGGGGGCAGCAGUAAGGAAUAUUGGUCAAUGGACGAAAGUCUGAACCAGCCAUGCCGCGUGAAGGAUGAAGGUCUCUGGAUUGUAAACUUCUUUUAUUUGGGACGCGGUACCAGAUGAAUAAGCACCGGCUAACUCCGUGCCAGCAGCCGCGGUAAUACGGAGGGUGCAAGCGUUAUCCGGAUUCACUGGGUUUAAAGGGUGCGUAGGCGGGUAGGUAAGUCAGCGGUGAAAUCCCCGAGCUUAACUUGGGAACUGCCGUUGAUACUAUUUAUCUUGAAUGUUGUGGAGGUUAGCGGAAUAUGUCAUGUAGCGGUGAAAUGCUUAGAUAUGACAUAGAACACCCAUUGCGAAGGCAGCUAACUACGCAAAAUUGACGCUGAUGCACGAAAGCGUGGGGAUCAAACAGGAUUAGAUACCCUUGUAGUC
rnacentral:rRNA from 1 species